AUUUGAAAUUUAGCAGGCGUGAAGGGCUGGGACUUGUCACUGAACAGCUACCUCUCUCAGAAGCACAAAGUUUCUUCUGAAGUGGUGGGGUCCAUGAAGUUGACAAUACUGGUGAUGAAAAUACGAAAAAUAACUAGGAUCAGAUAAAAUUUUCUAUCCUUUUUCUGUUUUUACUUCCAAACAUGACUAUCUACGUGGAUAUCUUCUUGUUGGGGCU